rnacentral:misc_RNA from 1 species
AAGUCGUAACAAGGUUUCCGUAGGUGAACCUGCGGAAGGAUCAUUGCAAAUCAUGGGCUGGUGGGGGGAGGCACGGUGGGGAAGAAGUAAUUCUGAACCGCUGCGCACCCUCGGCCGACAUUUGGUCGGGACGCUCGUCCUGGAUCAUAUUCACGCUUGUGCUGUUUGACAGAGUAAAGAUGCAGUUAAUGAGACAACUUUUAACAAUGGAUCUCUUGGCUCUUGCCCC